rnacentral:sRNA from 1 species
GUUACAAAUAUUUAACCCCAUCCACAGGCUCACAGGUUAACCCUUGACCCCAAGCUGGCGGUGCUGCUUUGGGAGGUGGUGGAAGCUGUAGGAGGCAGGGCCUCAGUUGAGGAAGUGGGUCAGCAUGGCUCUGCAUUCUCAAGACACAACAAUCCAGAGGCAGUGACAUGAAUGCUUGCUCCGUGGACAGGUGGAAAAAUGACUGGGGAUAAAGGAUGGAUGAGAGCAGGACCUGCUGUCUCACAGCAGCGCCACACAGAACCCCACCUGCUGUGGAAUGCACACGAGCCAUUUUAGAGCAUGGGGGAAAUGUGGAAGAACAUUUGCACAACUUCUAGCAACAUUCUUGGGUCAGUGGCCAUGACCCUGAGGCAAUGCUUAGCGCUACAGUGAUCGUUUGACUCCACACGGUACUACAAAAAGUGAAGCAGUGAAAGCCCUGGGCCACACCAACAAGCACGUGACAAGAGAGACGCUUGCUCAUACGACAGAGGCCUGCAUCCCUUAGGCAGAGUACUGACCAUGAUUGGAUGCGAAUGGAAGAAUGUCAACUAAGGAUUGUGUCUAUAUAGAAAAUCAUUAGCCAAACACCACAGGGCUAAUUAAUGUCAUUUGAAAUACUUUCUGUGUAUGUUGAAUAGAGUGCCGCCAUUAUCAUCUGGCCAAACGAAAUGCCUGCCCAUAAACAACAUGGAGCUAUUUAACAGGAUAGCUAAUUACAUCUCGUCUCACAGCCCCAACUGAUCCUAAGCAACAACUCCCUAAGCUGUGUUGUAGUGCAAGGUAGCCUAAGGCUCUGGGGCAGUUACUGAAUCAUGAGAUUUUACUGUUAGAACUUGUUCGGUGUGUUUAAAAACCACCAAAAUAUUGAAUGGAGUAAAGUUACUAGGGAGACCGCAGCUUGGAAAGAGGCAGAGGAGAUCAAGAUAGAGAGGGACACUUCAAAAGCCACGCUCGGGCUCACAGGCACCUGGCACGAAGCUAAGAAUGCUGGGGGAAUGGGAGGGAAAGUACCAAGCCCUGUGCUUUGCUCCAGGUCACCUGGUUCUAUGCGGCACCCUUGUGGGUGGCCUGUGGCAUCUAUGGCUGGAGGCAGCUGCAUGUGUUUCCAUGGUCUUCAGGUGGCAGGUUCUCUUUUUACCAAGCACUUUGUAUAAACUGUUCCCUUCAGCCUUCCUUCUUCACAUACAUUCUAUAGGAGGUUUAUUUUGGGCCCAAGGCGUGCUUCUCUCUGCAUUUGAUCUCAAAGCAAGCUCGUUGAAAAGAGGACCAGAGACCUAGACAAACCUUAUGGACUUGUGUCAUCCUUCUAUGUAUGCAAGAGACACAUUCCAGGUCCCCCCAUAGGCACCCAAGUUCUCACAUGCUCCGCUGUGGCAUUGCCAUAGAUCUGUACACAUCCCAGUGUGUGUAUUUUGAAUUGUCUCUAGACAAGUUUUGAUGAUAUUGCUGUGUCCAUGCCAGGGAGACAUUUGUUAAUGCUGCAUUGUGUUGGGGAUAAAGACAAGGGGAAAGCCACUCAUGCUCUGUGCAGAGGCAUUUUCAGUAAUCCCCCACCAUGGGGGAGGGAGGUCAGUUAAACCCUAGUGUCCAGGUUGGCUUUUUACUGCUGUGAUAAACACCAUGACCAAAAGCAAAUUGGGGAGAAAAGACUUCAUCUUAUGGCUUAUCGUGCAUCAUCCAGCAAGGCCAGGGCAGGAACUUGAGACAGGGACCUGGAAGGACGUACGAACUAAAGCAGAGACCAUAGAGGAAUGCUACUUACUCUCUUGCCUCCACUGCUUGUUCAUACAGCUCAGGACCACCUCCCACAACGAACUCCAUCCCCCAACCCACGUCCACCUUUAAUCAAGAGUCUUUCCUACAAACCAAUCUAAUGGAGGUAGUUUCUCAGCUGAGUGCUACUCCUCUACUAGUUUGUGUCAGGUUGACAAAUACUAACUAGCACCCUGGAUACAGCAGAUGUCAUGGAUACAAAGGGCUGGCUGCAGUGAUGGGACACUGGCCACCUUACUACCUUACUUCCUACCUACGAUGUGUCAAAGUCCAUCUCACUUUAAACCUAAAGGAGAAAAUAAUUUUGAAUAUUUUUCUUGAUUUUUUUCCCCAAAUGGGAUAUGGGAAAAAAGUACAACAUUACUGGGUCAUUAUUGUUCGUUUUCAGAACAAUGACAGAAUCUGAAAUCAUAUGGGAAAUGGACUCUGGGUUGGAACCCAGAACCUUGUCCCUCCCACUUAGGCAUGUGCUCUUACACUGAGCUACACCCUUGGCCUCAUACCUUCAUUUCUAAAAAUAAUGCCAAUGUGUAAUUGUGAGGAUUAAAGUAACAUGGAGACAAAUGAGUACACACUUCAUGUGCAUCAAAGCGGAGUCAUGCUAGGAAUUGCCUGGAGUGGACAUCUGUCUUAGGAGUUGCCAGGGAUGCUCAUAAUGACUCACAAAGUCUUCAGUGUGCUCCUUGACAUACAGUUUGUGUCACUGGUAUGGUCUUGGCCAGCUGCUCUCCAAUGUUUCCUCUAACUGGCUGCUCUCUGGACAUACCAUGAACCCCUCUGAGAACAAGCUUUUGCAGUGUAUCAGGGCCAACACCACUUGGCUUUUGAGAUGCUAUCUAUGUUUUCCAGCUACAGUGGUUUGUGACAUGCCUGGGCCUGUCCCAGUCUAUCCUAUGGAGACUGUUUACCUGCCUUUUUAAUGCUACAUACAUAUUCAGGUAAGCAGCCUGACGAUGAAUGAUGGCUGUAAGAAGCCAUUUCCAACAGUAGGUUGGGGUCUUGGUGGAUCUCAUGAUGCUCUUCUGUGGGGCUUCUGUAGACUUCAAGGACCAGUAAGCAGUUUUCACCCACAUGGGGGUAUGAGAUGUGAGAGGUGUUUUCUUGCUUUGUUCUCUUACAACUUUUCAAAUUAUAUGAAUGUAAUAAAAAGCAUACAUUAUUAAAAAUUUUAACUAGGUAUUUCACAUAUGGAGCUGUGAAGAAUUUCUUUUGGUGCCAAAAUGUCAUAAGGAAAAAAAGUAUGAGCUUUGUGAUUUGUGGACCUGCUAUGUAGGCAAUCUUUUUCAAAGUUGUAUUUUUCAAGAGGUGUUGGAACAUUUUUCUCCAUAAGGAUCACAGGUGGGAAACUCUUCAUAUACUGCUUCUACAAGUUGGAAAUUUUCCUUGUUUGAGGAUAAUGCAGAAAACAUUCAGUCCUCCAUGUUUGGUUGCUUUAUUUCUUCCUUUAGCCACAUUGCAGAGAACUUUCUAGAAAAGAAUUAAGAAUAUGCACCAAGAAACUCAUCACCACAACUGAGCACACAAUGGUGAGCAAGGUUAUCUCUAAAAUUGUACUCUAUACAUUUUUAAUACUCAAAAAGAAACAUCAAUGUGUCUCAUUUUCUAAUUUGUUAGAGAACAUGUCUGGUAACUGAUUAAACAAGCUAUAAAACACGGGGACCAAAGAGCCUCCAAGAACUUGAAAGACAUAUUACUUGGAUAAGCAAGUAACUCAUGAAAGUGAUGCUAUAGGAAAGAAUUUCUGUACAUCCUCCAUGGCUUGGUCCAAGUGAUGAGCCCUUUUCCAGUCCUUCUCAACAGACUUUAUGACCUACGUCGCCUAUUCCUCUCCUUAAUUCAUUAAACUGCAUUAAUUCAAACUAAUUAUCAUUUAAGCCUUUGACUCUAAAUUUCCUGGAUGAAAAUUUUGGAAUCUCUGAGUCAGAUGAACGUAUUACAUAAGUGCGCCCCAAGGAUUCACAAGCAGAAAACACAUCUUAGCGCUCAGUAAUGCCAGGGGACAUUCUUUUAGGGCAUCAUUCCUCCCUGAUUAUCAUUUUAUCUUCGCUCUUCAGUUGCAAGUCUUUCAUGAAGAAUUUGGGCAACGUUUUAAUUUAAAAAAAUUCCACCAUGCUACUUACAAACAUCAUUUUAAAAAACCUUUUAUUCAAUGGUAUACACAUUCAAGUAACAUUUGAAAUUUUUAAAAUAUAUGCUCAGAAGCAUGUGAACCUGCUGCUCUUGGUUAUUUACCUCACACACCCGGCUCAUGGUCACGUGCCCUUCAGGAGCCUAUUCCUGGAACCCCAUUUGGCAGUUUACCCAACAGAGCAAAAUUAAAAUUUAGAUCCUAGCCCCAAAAUGUUAUGUAACCAAAGCUUUGGUUUUUUGUGACCUUGAAGCGCUAGGUCAAGCCAAACAGCUUGAAUGUAAUUGUGUUUAACUGGAAACUCUGUGUCUGUACAUUUUUAAUGUCCCCAGAUUGCCACAUGAGACUCAGUCUUUAAAUGGGAUCCUUCUGAAGAGCAGAUUUCUUUGGGAGACAGGAUGAGGUAAAUAUGUAGAGACUAAUAUGACACAUGACUGUUUUGCAGGAUGACGCAACCAUGCAGUUGUUUUGUGAUUACCAAGCUCAUGAAGAAUGAACAAUAGACAUUGGAUGCAUUGGUUCAUGCUGUAGCCGCUGUAAUCAGGAAGCUGUGGGAGGAAGAACCCAAGUAGGAAGCCAAUCUGGAUACAUAGGGAUAGCCUGUCUAAGAAAACUAAAAAACUGUAUUCUGAAUACAACCCAAUGGCUUAAAGUAUCACUUAUAAGGAAACUGUAAACUUGCAAAACACUUAGAUUAUUUUUCUAAGGUUCCAAAGUAAGUGUAAUCGGUAAAGUUAAAAACUGUGGAGACAAUUAAGAGCAUGUAUGAGUCAGAUACUGGAAGCCUAGAAAGGAUCAAAAUUUAGAUCAAACAUGGGUUCUACUAAGGAUAUGCCCCCUAGCACUGUUUGGUCAAAGACCCACUAAUAUAUCCACCAAUAAUAAAGAGAACCUGUUCAAGUGUGUGUGUGCUGGAAUGACGCUCUUUGCUUUUCCAUUUUUUCCUGUCCAUUUGCCAGUACCAUUCCUUCUUAGUAUUUGUCGUGGUGGAAUGAUGUUCUGAGGACGUCUGAGGUUGGUACUAUGAGAGUUAUUUGUAAUGCUCAACUUGACACAGUGAAGGGAGGGUCAAUGUGGAAACUUCUGGGCUAGGAUGGCCUAUCAGGGGUGUUUGUGGGCAACUGUCAUGGUUACCUGCACAUGUGGGAAGAUCCGUGUGCAGCAUCUAUCUGUGACUUUGGAUCCUGAACUGUUGAGUGAUCAGAAAGUAGCUCAUUGAUUUCUGCUCCCAUUACUGCGUCUUCUCAGCUAUGUUGAACUGUGACCAGGAAUUGUGAGCCAAAAUAAAAAUUGCUUUUUAGGGUUCUUUAUCACAGCAACAAGAAAUAAAACUAAUCUAGAAACUGAACUUUAAGAAUUUAUUUAAACUCCACCUAGCCCAGAAGUUUCCACAUGGAUCCCAGCAGCCAGGAAAUGGAAGGAAAAAAUAUUCAUUCAUGGGGAGACAAUUAUACUUUCUUGAGCCACUGUACUUUCCGGAGUUAUGUCAUUUUACUGAAAUGGAGCCUUAUAAAUGGCAUAGCCCUGGUGUUUAAAAAUAAUGUAAUAUUCUUUGCAGCAUUCUUACAGAAUGAAUGAAGCACAGAUCCUGCUCAUUCUUCCUGUGUCCACUAUCCACACCAAAAGAAGAUCUACCCAAGUCGAAACCAUCACUCCAUCUGUUACUAUCACUCUUUGGAGUUCAGGACCCCAUCUGCUCCCAAGAGAGCAUGGUUGAAGGUCAGGGGUGGAGUCAGGAACAUUGGUUAGCAUGUUCAGCCCGAGUAGCUGCUGAGUCAGCAUCCAUUACAUCAUUUCUGCUCAUUCCCCAGGCCCUUCUCCAGGUCAUGCUGGACUCCUCCCUGCCAUGUGUCCUGCUCUUGGUGUCACCCUGUUCUUUGGCCCCAGUCUCCUCCUGCCGUCCUCAGAUGGAGGCAGACUCCAUGGAUGCCUGUCUUCUGUAUCUGGUAAACAGACACAGGAAAAUUGCUAGUUCAAAGUCAGCUAGAGCCACAAGGUCCCACUUCACAUUCUGAGUAACUGUCCCAGCUUCUGGAGAGCAAACAGAACAUGCUAAGGACCGUGACAUGGGAAGGUCAGUAGAGACAUCUAUUCUCCCAGUGAUGCUCAUACGGAAACAAUGUGUGACUGAAGUCAAAUGGAAAUACAAAAGCGUAUUUAUUCCUGGUCUAUGCAGUUCCUUGGACACCUGAUACCUCUCUCCUGCUAACAAGAGUUUCAACAAUGUUCACACACACAGAUGCCCCCAACUGGAGACAUAUCUAUAAAAAAAAUCUAUGAUGAAUUUUACUUGGAGCUAUAACAGCAAAAGUUCAAACAAUAUGCAUUCUUGAAAAACAGAAGAGUAAAAAAUAAAAGAUUACUGUAAUAUCCCAAA